AGGAAAUCCGAGCUGGGGACUGGGGGGAGCUCGGCUGGCGAGCAGGGAGCACCAGAGAAGGUCAACGGCGAGCUAAGGGGGCGCCGCGAGCUUGAAGAUGGAGCAGAGGGAGCAGUGCUGGGACAGCAGUGGAGAGCGCGCCGAGUGAGAAGUAGAGGAAGCGCGCACCACGGGAGCUUCGAGCUGAGCGAGCUGGAGCAGAGGCGCUGUCCAUGCGCCCGCCAUGGGAGAUCGAGAGGAGGGACCAGAGAUGCGGCAACAGAGGAGGCUAAGGAAAAGCAGCUGCGCGCGGCUGUAAAAUGGAAGACGAUGGAGUCUGCGUGAGAGAUAUGGAAAAGGAAUCGGCUGGAAAAUUCAGAGCUGGCAGCUGGGGCGGCAUGGAGAUAAGUACCGGUAUGUAAAAAAAUCA
rnacentral:misc_RNA from 1 species